UACGUAGGGUGCAAGCGUUGUCCGGAAUUACUGGGCGUAAAGAGCUCGUAGGCGGUCUGUCGCGUCGGUCGUGAAAACUUGGGGCUUAACCCUGAGCUUGCGGUCGAUACGGGCAUGACUGGAGUUCGGCAGGGGAGACUGGAAUUCCUGGUGUAGCGGUGAAAUGCGCAGAUAUCAGGAGGAACACCGGUGGCGAAGGCGGGUCUCUGGGCCGAUACUGACGCUGAGGAGCGAAAGCGUGGGGAGCGAACAGG
rnacentral:rRNA from 1 species